GAGGUCCAGGGCGCCUGUAGGCAAGGCUAGGUGGAAACUUUGCGGCGAACUCACUCCUGUGCCAUUAAUUGGACAGGGGUCCCACUCUCGGGGCCUCAAUUUUCUCGUUUGUAAUAUGGGUGAUUUUGCACGAGCUUAGUGUAUCGAGAAUCAUCCUGACGGAGUACUCAUAACCACCAGAGUUAAUGCUCUGUAAUGAAUCCCAGAAGCGGGAAAUGUAAGUCUUGAGUUGCAUGUUAAACCCUUCCCUUCUCCCAUCCCGUGCUUAAGUAUCUAUGGCUCUCCCUUUUCAACAUUUUCAACAUUCAUGCGUGAAGUUGAGGUGCUGGUAAGAUGCACCACCUUUUGUCCUGUGGCCCAAUUGCACCUUCAGCCCCAGUUCUGGAAACCGUGCUCAGAUCAUCACUGAGCUGCUUUUUAGCCAAGGCAGAGGUCCUUGCUGCAAGGUGUGAGCCUGCCUUCUCCCUUCUGCUGCAUGAGACCCAAGAGGAAGUUUUGAUUCACUCACAGCGUGAGUCUGAUGAUGAACAUCUUGGAAGCUGCCCAGCUGUAUCCCAGAUCUUCUUCAGUGUUUCCUUAGAACUGCCUGGGGAUGGCCCGCAGGGAUCCCAGGACCCCUGUUUGGCUGUCCCACUGGCUUCUUUUACAGACCACUCUUUCUCCAGCUGAGGGGUUAUGAGAGGGCCUGGGAAGCUGUCCAAGGGUGCUCAGGGGACACAGAGAGAAGGCAGAGCAGAAGUCCAGGCCCUGAGCACUGCCCCCACCCGCUGAGUCACUCCGCUGACACUGGAGCUGGAGUGAGUGUCAGACUGGGCCCAGGGUGUCUUGAGUGCUGAUGAAGGAGGAGGUGAGGAGGAGGAAAACCCAGACAAAGGUUUCUGGAGGAUGGAAAAGUGGACUGAGAAUCCCUUAAUACCCAUUGCCCCUUGGCUAGUGCUCCACGGCAUCCAAGAUGCAUCCUGGUGAGUUCGGCCUGUUGAAACCCCCUCCCUAAGGGUUAGGGAGGCUUCUCCACCAUCCCUUCAUGUCAUCAGAAACAGUUGCACUCUUGUGCGGUAAUCACGUGUCAGCCUCUUACUUUCCUGGCCCUUCCAUCUGUAGGCUCAGCACCCUCCUGUUCCCGGGCCAUGGAAGGCCCAGCUCAGCUCCUCACUGCAGAAGCAGCUAGGACCCCUCCUCACCCAGCUCUCCUAGCCCCCGGCUCUUGGUUCCUUAAAUUCUUUGCUCCAGCCUGGAGGCCAAAUGGCCUGCCAUUCAGAAUUGAGCCCAGUGUGCAUGACCAGGGUGGCUGGUGGAGACUGGACCAGGCCUGCUCCAGGCCAGUUUCUGCUCCCUGCGUCCUGAACUCCUGUCCUCAGCUGGAGGGGUCACUCACAAAUGCCAGUUGGAUCGGAUCCCCACAGUCCCUGCUUAAAAUACUUCAGAGGGUGGCAUCAGAUCCCUACUAGGGUGGUGUGAGAAAGGGAGAUGUUUUACAGAAUGUUUUGAAUCCUUUGAAUCUCCCGCGUGGAGACCCUUCAUCAACCUAGGCAUCAAGCGAAUUCUGGCCCAGAACCCUCCACUCCCUCCUGAGCUCGGUUUGUCAGUGUCAUUAUAAAUGGUGCUCAGGGGCCCAGGGGAGAGGCCUGAAGUUUUCAGAGAAGCCUGAUGCGGUGGUCACUGCUGGGACUCCCUUGCUUCCUACUGCAACCAUCCCAGCCUCCUUGCCCUUGGGGGUGGGGAAAGGAUGCUGAGGGGUUCUCCCCCCUCCGCAGAGGCCCCCCAGCAGGACUGAGCCCCAGUGGUUUGCAGAGACACCCUCUUUUGGCUUUUUCCUGGUCCCUGCUUUCCCACUCCCUUAUAGGUGUUGCUGGGGUCAUUUUCUGUUCUUGUUUAAGGUUAUUUAUUUAUUUGGGGGGGAGGGAGGGACAGAGAGAGAGAGAGAGAGAGAGAGAGAGAGAGAGAGAGAAUCCCAAGCAGACUCUGCACUGUCAGCGCAGAGCCCGACAUGGGGCUCAAACCCACGAACCGUGAGACCAUGCGUGAGCUGAAGCCCACAGUCAGCUGCUUAACCGACUGAGCCACCCAGGUGCCCCUGCUGGGCUCAUUUUCUGAAUAGACUAUUUGCAUGUAAGUCCUUGUCUCCAAGUCGGCUGUGGAGGAACACAGCCUAAAACACUGGGGUGAGCAAUUAUUGGGCCCGGCGUUCUUUCAAGGGCUUGCUCUAUACAAACCUACUUAAUCCUCACCCCUGCGAAGCAGGUGCUGUUGAUAUUACUCCAUUUCCCAGAGAUAAAGAAACUGAGGCACAGAGAGGGUGGGACACUUAUAAAGGUCACACAGCAAAUAAGUGGUGGAGGUGGGAUCCACACCAGCUGUCUGACCACAGAGCCACAACUCUUAAGAAUAAAUCUCCAUGGGGGGUGGGGUGCCUGGGUGGCUCAGUUGGUUAAGUGUCUGACUUCAGCUCAAGUCAUGAUCUUGUGGUUUGUGGGUUCAAGCCCCGAGUUAGGCUGUGUGCCGACAGCUCAGAGCCUGGAACCUGCUUCGGAUGCUGUGCCUCCCUCUCUCCCUCUGCCCUUCCCCUGCUCGUGCUCUCUCUCAAAAAAUGAAUAAACCAUUAAAAAAAAUUUUUUUUAAAAAGGAGUAAAUCUCCCCAUUAUCUGGCUAAGGAAAUCGAGGCACAGGAAGGCUAAGGUGCUUGCCUGAAGUCACACAGCUACACACUGAGGUGCUAGGAUUACAGUUCCAGAGCUGGGAUGCUUAGCUGCCUUGCUCGCCUCUUCUUCACGCUGAUCCUGGUCCGUGCACCGUGGUGCUGGGUGCCUGGUUGCCCCGCGGGCCAGCUGUGGCUCUGUGCACCGCACGCAGCGGGCAGAGCGUGCUGUAUCGGCACUAUUCGCCUUACUUAUGUAACCCGAGAUCUGCUGACUGCAGAAAACCGUGCGCCCACGGAGAUAUGGAUCGGGUGUUCUCCUCUGAGCCAUCGGUCCCCAGCCAGCCACAGGUGCUGCAGUGAGAGGGCUCGGCCGUCUCCAGAUGUCAGGGGCCCGUAUCUGUACGGUCCUCUGCUCGGCAUCAAGAUCAGAGGUGGCCAGGGAACGGGUCCUGUAGUCACCAGCAGCACUAACUGGGCAGUCCCCAAGUGCCAGGCCUCUCCUGGGUGCUUGCUCGGUCCCGUGGGAUGUCAGUGCAAGCGGGUGACUGCUAGGACCAGACGAGCACUUGCCAAAUGAGUGAACAAAGGAAGAAGCUCACUGCCGCCCUGCUGGGACCAGACACCUGAGUCAGGUGGGAGGUGAACGCCCCGGGUUUCCUGACAGGGAAAUCCAAGGCUGGAAGGGGUUGUGAUUUGGCAGAGGGUGACACUUGGGGAGAGUGACACGGAGGGAAGGACAGGACUGGAGCUUGGGGCUUCCUGAUGCCACACCCACACUCUUACUGUCCCAUCGCUGAGCCAGGAGUGGAGGCAGGGGGAGCUGAGGACGUGGAAGGGGUUCCUUAGUCGGGGGAGGUGGGUGGGCGGCUGGCCGUGGGACGUGGCCCACUGUGGCUGGAGUGAGGACAGGUGGCGGUGUUGUGGGGCUGGGCCGCCCUUCCACUCAGAGGUCUGUCAUGCAUUUGAAGGCAGCUUUCCUGUAGUUUCCCCGGGGUUGUCUUCUUCCAGGCCAAAUGUCUCCCUCUCCUCCAGCUGUCCUUCUCAGACAACACAGUAAACCUCCGGGAAAGACAGCAGUGCUCUACAACCUUCCAGAAUGUGGUGUCCAGUGCUCCCACAGGCCCCCAGGGUUGACUGCCCCAUGGAGAGCUGAGUGCAUUUGUCACCUCCCUGCUCCACGACUCCCAUCAGGGUGGCCGGGUCCCCAUCCUCUUCCUGAUGGCCAGCCAUCAACGGAGACCCUCAGUCUGGUUCCAGCUGCCGUCCCCUGGAUCCUGGACGUGAGCCGUUGGCUCUCCUGGACAGGUGCGGGCUUUGUCACUUGGCCUGGCUGCAUUUGGCUUUGACCUGCUGGAGAUCCAGCUCUUCCCCUCCUUCAGUGUCUGCUCCCCUCCCCCUUUGCGUGUGUGAACUGCUGCUUCUAGAAACCUUGAAUCAGAUCCUACUGAGAACGUGCGACAGGACAAAGGUUAUGGUGUCAGUUCUUAUCAGGGGUGCUUAUCUCAUGCUCAUCUCCUGUGUGUUCCCAGAAGCUUGCACUGACUCUCAGGGCCUCAGGAGGAGCGGAGCAGAGACCACAGCAGAGGGGCUGGGGAAGAGGGUGUUGGUGGGGGUUGGGGGGAGUAGCACCUGGGACCCUUGGUGUGAGGCCUCCCAGCUGUCCCACGGGGCGUUGCCGGGGGACAGAGAAGCUGACUGGAUGGGGAAGGGGCCACUCUGCAAAGUUCUUGGGUACCUUCAAAGCUUAUCUCCUCAUCCCCCACGGCAGCUGCAGGUUCUGCUAAAACAGGAAGGGGCAGACCUACCCCCCCCCCCCCCCCCCCCAGAGGACAAGACCUCCUCCCUGCGCCAGCUGCCACAGCAUGUCCCCCUGUCUCCAGGCAGGUCCAGGAAGGGGUGGGGGUGGGCUGGGGAAUGAACACCUGUGCCAGGUGGGAGGGAGAGUCCCCGGGGAGGGGGGCCACGGCAGCUCGUAUCCCACCUCGAGCUCUCCCCGGCAAGCACUGCAAACAGCAAUGUUUAUCAAAUGUCGGGGAGCAUCGGAACCCUAGGGAGGUGUUGAAACUCAGUCUGGGCCCUGGUCCCAGAAAUUGUUAUUCGGUUGGUCUGGGGUAGGCCUGAGAGGCCGCAUUUCUCUAAGCUCAGUGGUGCAGGAAGAGCUUUCCUGCUUCACUUUCCCAGACGGGGUGGGGCCAGGCUCACCACCACCCUGUCAUUUAGUGAUCCACCAAAUAUUUAUUGAGUGUUUGCUCUGUGGCCGGAGCUCUGCAUAUAGCAGCGAGCAGGGCAGUUGUGGCCUCUCCCGGGAGGGCGCCUGCAUUGUCUUGGGGGCACAGAUAUUCAUCCCUCGAAUCUUGAAACUUUCCUCGGAGGAAGGCGGAGCGGGAAUCAUUUUCCCUAGUGUCCAGGUGAGGAAAUAGCAUCGCGGAGAGGCCACGUGACCUGCCGGCCCGAGUGCAAUUGGAAGGUGGCAGAACCUGAACUCAGGACACGUAAGUCGAAAUCUGGCUGCCCGGCCCUGGCCAGGAGCCAUCUCUGCUCCAGAAGGUUGUGUCUAGGAGGCAGGGCUACAGGCCUUGGACACGCAUCAGCGGGUGACAGCUGGGGGCUUCAUCCUUGUGUGGGGAUGGAGAACUUGGCGGAGAGAUGUUCCCAUGUCCCCACCCACGACUCUCAGUUCCGAGAUCUGCCUGACUGCAGAGUUUCACAGCUCUGGCCUUUCCUUGGCGGGAUAUCUGCUCCAGGGAGGGAUGCCUCCCCCAACCAAGAUGGCAGCCCUCAUCUCCAUGGCAACCCCUGGACACCUGGCCUUGGUGACCAAGGAGCAAAGUAUGAGGCUCCCUUCCUGAAGCACAGACCAGCGAGGUGGUCCCUGUUUGAAGAUGGGGUCUGCAGGCCCCGUGGCCAGGAAAUCUCAGUUCUCCCCACCUCUGCACCCUCCAGCUGUGCGCUGUGACCAGCCCCGAAUCAGACUGAGCUGACUCACUCAGUGUCAGAUGAGUGAGAUGAGGUGUCCCCCGAGCCAACGGUCUUGCUUCUUUGUUCUUCUCACGCGCCUUCCAGAACCUCAGACUCCCCAGGUGCAAGAUGGAGUCGCUGCCCCUGACGCCCCCGCUGGAUCCGCCAGCCUCGUUUUUCUGGAUCUCCCACCCCAAGGCUUGUUCUGCGGAACAGCCGUUGUAGAAACAAACAAGUCUGUUUGUUUACAGACGUUUACAGCUUUUAAAAGCGUAUCGUUUACGGUGAAUUUUCAGGACAUAAAGAUUGUAGCAAUUUACGAGAAGGUAUUUUAUUGCAGUGGAUGGAAAAUACACAAAACCAUACCAAUGUC